CCUACGGGAGACAGCAGUGGGGAAUAUUGGGCAAUGGACGCAAGUCUGACCCAGCAACGCCGCGUGAAGGAAGAAGGCUCUCGGGUUGUAAACUUCUUUUAAGGGGGAAGAGCAGAAGACGGUACCCCUUGAAUAAGCCACGGCUAACUACGUGCCAGCAGCCGCGGUAAUACGUAGGUGGCAAGCGUUUUCCGGAUUUACUGGGUGGAAAGGGCGUGCAGCCGGAGAGACAAGUCAGAUGUGAAAUCAACGGGCUCAACCCGUGAGCUGCAUUUGAAACUGUUUCCCUUGAGUGUCGGAGAGGUAAUCGGAAUGCCUUGUGUAGCGGUGAAAUGCGUAGAUAUAAGGAAGAACACCAGUGGCGAAGGCGGAUUACUGGACGAUAACUGACGGUGAGGCGCGAAAGCGUGGGGAGCAAACAGGAGUAGAUACCCCGGUAGUC
rnacentral:rRNA from 1 species